rnacentral:rRNA from 1 species
UACGUAGGGUGCAAGCGUUGUCCGGAAUUAUUGGGCGUAAAGAGCUCGUAGGCGGUUUGUCGCGUCUGCUGUGAAAACCCGAGGCUCAACCUCGGGCCUGCAGUGGGUACGGGCAGACUAGAGUGGCGGUAGGGGAGAUUGGAAUUCCUGGUGUAGCGGUGGAAUGCGCAGAUAUCAGGAGGAACACCAAUGGCGAAGGCAGAUCUCCUGGGCCGUAACUGACGCUGAGGAGCGAAAGCGUGGGGAGCGAACAGG